CAGUAAUAACAUAUUUAACCCCCAAAAAAAUUAAAAAAUAACACAUAUACCCCCGCCGUGUCCCCAAACGUGUCCCAGUUGUGUCCCCCUCCGAAAAUUAAUUGAAGCUAAGAGACACAUCACGUGGCGUGUCCCAUACGUUACUUGUUAGAUUUAUUACAAUUUUGUGGACUAGCAUAUUUUAUUUAUGUUAAAAGGUUCCGGAUUAGUUUGAUUAUCAAAUUUAUCGGAGUAUUUGUUUAGACCUAUUUGGUUAGUGAUCACCAUUUUGUAAUGGGUCAUUUUGGUGCACCUAAUUUAUUACUGUAGUAAGUAUUUUGUUAAGUGUGAGCUUGGUGCUAUAUGGUUAAUUUGGACCCAUAAUGGGCUGGGCCGUUUUAUUAGGCACAAGAGGAGUAUCUUGCCCUCAUCCUAUAUAUAUAUAUGUGUUUUGGCCCACUAAAAACAUAUUCUACAGAACCAGGAAAAGAGGGUAGUGUCUCUCUCUCUCUCUAGAAAGAGGAAGCACGAAAUUGUGGUUUUAGUGUGGCUUCGGCUUGUGAUCUGCUCGAUCACUAACAAGAAUUAGCUGCUAUAUACUUCAGAUCAUGGCCUCCUCAUCACUCUCAGAACCAGGAAAAGAGGGUAGUGUCUCUCUCUCUCUAGAAAGGGGAAGCACGACGUUGUGGUUUUGGUGCGGCUUCGGCUUGUGAUCUGCUCGAUCACUGACAAGAAUUAGCUGCUAUAUACUUCAGAUCAUGGCCUCCUCAUCACUCUCAGGUAAA